rnacentral:lncRNA from 1 species
GACUACAAGCCCAUGGCAUCUCUUUAGUGCUUCAGACUUCUGCUUAAGUCUCCAAUCUCCUUUAGUGUUUUAACCAUGCCUCUGAAACUACAGUAGCCAUCUUGAGAGUUCCAGCCUUCAUCUGCUUCUGAAACCAAGAAUUCUAUGGACAUCAUCAGGGAUCAGUGCCAGCAACUCAGGACCAGACACUAGGAGAGAAACUACACUGUACUUGUGUACAUACAGGGGAUCUCGCCAGGGGAGCUAUUGAGCCUCACAAUACAAUUAACUCCUUUACUUUAAAUAUUCAAACAAGAUUUGGGGAUCACUUACCCAGAAAGACAUACCCAGCAAAAUUGAAACAAACAAACCAUCAAAAUGGCAAAUGCAAGUAAAAAGAAAAAUAUGGAUGCAAGAGUUAGGGUAUGAAACGCAAAGAAAAAUGACAUUGAUAGGAAAGCAGAGCAGUCAGUCUGACUGAGCUGCACAACGGUGCCUUCCUCACACGAGAGGGUUCCUGGGCAGAGCUAAAGCGUAA